rnacentral:lncRNA from 1 species
AAAAAGUGUUUCCGGUUCAGAGGGUUCAGAGGUCAUCGUGUUCGUACGUUAGCUAGCUUGAAAAACAAAAGCAGGUAGCAGUUUAUCGGUGUGUUUUCGGGUGCAGCAAAGCGUAAAAAAGAAAGUAAAAUGAAGAAGUUUGAAAACGACAGAGAGGGGCUGCACACAAGUUUCUCUCAGGUCCCGCACAACCUGCAAACUAUCUUCAGUUAACCGCCGCAAAGAUGGACGCUCAGGAACGUUAACGGUUAACGGUCGACUCAACGGGGACGGAAGGUAGAGGUUCCCCACCGAGGAAAUCACGACUGAGGAAGUUUUCCCUAAGGUGGACAUUUAUCUUCAAAUGUAUCUGAAAUUACGGAUUAUAAACUGUUCAAUUGAUCGACCAUCAGCUGAAUAUUGUUGGCCUUCUGUUGCCCAGUGGAGAAUGGAUUUACAUUUCAUCUGGAUGUCGAUGACAUCUUCGAGGAUUCAUCGAAAGUCAGCAGGAAGCAUCUGUAAAUAGAGCAUGGGAGAGAGAGAGAGAGACGUGUGAGAGACGCAGCGGCAGCAGAGAGAGGAGAGAAGUGACCCAGGUGGAGACGGCGACACGCGUUAUUGUAAGUGCAAUAAAACCUUCACGAGUUCAAAGUCAACAAACAUAACCUCCUUGGCGGAGGCAAUAAGUACCACUUGCUCAGAAAGCAUAAACGUGCAUCAUAUUUCAGCAUAAACAGCGACAUUUCCACCGGCACGUUUUACACGACCACAGUGCUUGUUA